CGCACAUUGCGCCCUUUGGUAUUCCGAAGGGCAUGCCUGUUCGAGCGUCAUUUAAAUAAUCAAGCUCUGCUUGGUAUUGGACCCGGUCUUAGGACCCGUCCGGAACUCAGUGGCGGUGUCGUCCGGCCCUAAGCGUAGCAAAACUAUCCGCUUUAGGUGCCCGCGGCGACCUAGCCAGGUAACUAUCAUACCUAAAGUUUGACCUCGGAUCAGGUAGGGAUACCCGCUGAACUUAA
rnacentral:misc_RNA from 1 species